CGGGGUGCGCAGGCGCGAAAACUUUACAAUGCUGGCAACAGCGAUAAGGGGACCUUGAGUGCCAGGAUACAAUCCUGGCUGUCGUGAUGCCUAAAAAGCAUUAUAUAGCAAGGGCCGGGCAAGACCGGUGCCAGCCGCCGCGGUAACACCGGCGGCUCGAGUGGUAACCGCUAUUAUUGGGUCUAAAGGGUCUGUAGCCGGCUUGGUUAGUCUCUUGGGAAAUCCGGCAGCUUAACUGUCGGGCUUUCAGGAGAUACUGCCAGGCUCGAGACCGGGAGAGGUGAGAGGUACUUCAUGGGUAGGGGUGAAAUCUUGUAAUCCUUGAAGGACCACCAGUGGCGAAGGCGUCUCACCAGAACGGAUCUGACGGCAAGGGACGAAAGCUAGGGGCACGAACCGGAUUAGAUACCCGGGUAGUCCUAGCCGUAAACGAUACUCGCUAGGUGUCGGCCACGGUGCGACCGUGGUCGGUGCCGUAGGGAAGCCGUGAAGCGAGCCACCUGGGAAGUACGGCCGCAAGGCUGAAACUUAAAGGAAUUGGCGGGGGAGCAC
rnacentral:rRNA from 1 species